rnacentral:misc_RNA from 1 species
GAUGAAGAACGUAGCGAAAUGCGAUACUUGGUGUGAAUUGCAGAAUCCCGUGAACCAUCGAGUCUUUGAACGCAAGUUGCGCCCGAAGCCAUUAGGCCGAGGGCACGCCUGCCUGGGCGUCACACGUCGUUGCCCCCCCAUCUACUCCUUCGGGAUUGCGGGGGGCGGAUGAUGGCCUCCCGUGCGCCUCGUCGCGCGGUUGGCAUAAAUGCCAAGUCCUCGGCGACGCACGCCACGACAAUCGGUGGUUGCGAAACCUCGGUUGCCCGUCGUGUGCGGUCGUCGCGCAUCGAGGGCUCGAAAAAAUUGUCGGGCUCCGGCUCGGCUUUCAACGCGACCCCAGGUCAGGCGGGGUUACCCGCUGAAUUUAAGCAUAUCAUAGCGGAGGA